AACAGGAUUAGAUACCCUGGUAGUCCACGCCGUAAACGAUGUCUACUUGGAGGUUGUGCCCUUGAGGCGUGGCUUCCGUAGCUAACGCGUUAAGUAGACCGCCUGGGGAGUACGGCCGCAAGGUUAAAACUCAAAUGAAUUGACGGGGGCCCGCACAAGCGGUGGAGCAUGUGGUUUAAUUCGAUGCAACACGAAGAACCUUACCUGGUCUUGACAUCCACAGAACUUUCCAGAGAUGGAUUGGUGCCUUCGGGAACUGUGAGACAGGUGCUGCAUGGCUGUCGUCAGCUCGUGUUGUGAAAUGUUGGGUUAAGUCCCGCAACGAGCGCAACCCUUAUCCUUUGUUGCCAGCGGUUAGGCCGGGAACUCAAAGGAGACUGCCAGUGAUAAACUGGAGGAAGGUGGGGAUGACGUCAAGUCAUCAUGGCCCUUACGACCAGGGCUACACACGUGCUACAAUGGCGCAUACAAAGAGAAGCGACCUCGCGAGAGCAAGCGGACCUCAUAAAGUGCGUCGUAGUCCGGAUUGGAGUCUGCAACUCGACUCCAUGAAGUCGGAAUCGCUAGUAAUCGUGGAUCAGAAUGCCACGGUGAAUACGUUCCCGGGCCUUGUACACACCGCCCGUCACACCAUGGGAGUGGGUUGCAAAAGAAGUAGGUAGCUUAACCUUCGGGAGGGCGCUUACCACUUUGUGAUUCAUGACUGGGGUGAAGUCGUAACAAGGUAACC
rnacentral:rRNA from 1 species